rnacentral:tRNA from 1 species
GGAGGCGUAUCGUUACCGGUGUGGCGCCUGGUCUUCAAAACCAGUGGACGGCUGUGAGGUCGUCGGUAGGUUCGACUCCUAUACGCCUCCGCCA